CGGGGGCCCGCACAAGCGGCGGAGCAUGCGGAUUAAUUCGAUGCAACGCGAAGAACCUUACCAAGGCUUGACAUACACUGGACCGUUCUGGAAACAGUUCUUCUCUUUGGAGCUGGUGUACAGGUGGUGCAUGGUUGUCGUCAGCUCGUGUCGUGAGAUGUUGGGUUAAGUCCCGCAACGAGCGCAACCCUCGUUCUAUGUUGCCAGCACGUGAUGGUGGGAACUCAUAGGAGACUGCCGGGGUCAACUCGGAGGAAGGUGGGGAUGACGUCAAAUCAUCAUGCCCUUUAUGUCUUGGGCUUCACGCAUGCUACAAUGGCUGGUACAGAGAGAGGCGAACCCGUGAGGGUAAGCGAAUCCCUUAAAGCCAGUCUCAGUUCGGAUCGUAGUCUGCAAUUCGACUACGUGAAGUCGGAGUCGCUAGUAAUCGCAGAUCAGCAACGCUGCGGUGAAUACGUUCCCGGGCCUUGUACACACCGCCCGUCAAGUCACGAAAGUCGGUAACACCCGAAGCCGGUGUCCCAACCCACUUGUGGGAGGGGGCCGUCUAAGGCGGGACU
rnacentral:rRNA from 1 species